AUUGAACGCUGGCGGCAGGCCUAACACAUGCAAGUCGAGCGGAUGAAGGGAGCUUGCUCCUGGAUUCAGCGGCGGACGGGUGAGUAAUGCCUAGGAAUCUGCCUGGCAGUGGGGGAUAACGUCCGGAAACGGGCGCUAAUACCGCAUACGUCCUGAUGGAGAAAGUGGGGGAUCUUCGGACCUCACGCUAUCAGAUGAGCCUAGGUCGGAUUAGCUAGUUGGUGGGGUAAAGGCCUACCAAGGCGACGAUCCGUAACUGGUCUGAGAGGAUGAUCAGUCACACUGGAACUGAGACACGGUCCAGACUCCUACGGGAGGCAGCAGUGGGGAAUAUUGGACAAUGGGCGAAAGCCUGAUCCAGCCAUGCCGCGUGUGUGAAGAAGGUCUUCGGAUUGUAAAGCACUUUAAGUUGGGAGGAAGGGCAGUAAGUUAAUACCUUGCUGUUUUGACGGUACCAACAGAAUAAGCACCGGCUAACUUCGUG
rnacentral:rRNA from 1 species